rnacentral:lncRNA from 1 species
AAAUAAACAUAGAAUGAAGUAUUUAAGAUAUUUAUUUAAAAUUUAAAUACUUAUUUUGGAUAUAAUUCAGAUUUUUGGAUUCACAUAUAUAUAUAUAUAUAUAUUUUAUACCACCCUACAUGAUCCAUUUGGUAUUUUACAGCUCAUAUAGAAUAUGUAUUCAGAUUUGUUUGGUUCGGAUUUUGGGUAUUAUGCCCUAGGUUAACCAUUAUUAUAUUAUUACUAAGCAGUAAGCCCAAAUAAAACGUUUCAUAGUGUUGCCGUCUUUUACCCUCACCGUUAAAUGGGUUCAAAUUUCCGGGGUUAGGAAAGCAAAUCUAAAUCAUUCGGUGCGGACGUUGUUGAAAACUUAGCAUGGACUCGCCACUGUAACAUAGCCGUCUCAUCUUUGUAUGGCGGUAUCUUACGUCCGUGUCUUUUCUUUGUGGUUUUGGUUGUUGGAGGAUAUUCAUCAAGAGAGAGCAGCUCAAAGACUUAGCAGAGCUUUUUCAGGGACAUAUCAUAGUGGAAGUUCAUCUUUAAGUCAUUGUUCGUAAUAUUUGGUGGCUACUUGAUUGUUUAAGUUCGAUUAAUACAUAACUUGCGCGAGGUUCUUCGAUAGACAUAGUGCACUAUGGAAGUCACAACAUAUCUCAACCACAUUCGGCUUGUAUCAAAUUUAUUCGCACAAACCGUUUAGCCAAAUAACUUCUCUAAUAACGCAUUUACCUGCCAUAUUGUGGUUAAUUUGUCAUACAAAAACGUGUUGGAUAACAUAUUUCCAAUGAUUUUUCGUUGUUGCUGGCCUUUUUUGUUUUGCAGCACCUGAUUGUUUUGGUCUUAUAGAUUCGAAAAAGAAC